AUUGAACGCUGGCGGCAGGCCUAACACAUGCAAGUCGAACGAGUGGCGGACGGGUGAGUAAUGUCUGGGAAACUGCCUGGUGGAGGGGGAUAACUACUGGAAACGGUAGCUAAUACCGCAUACCAUCGGAUGUGCCCAGAUGGGAUUAGCUGGUUGGGGGGGUAACGGCUCACCAAGGCGACGAUCCCUAGCUGGUCUGAGAGGAUGACCAGCCACACUGGAACUGAGACACGGUCCAGACUCCUACGGGAGGCAGCAGUGGGGAAUAUUGCACAAGGGGCGAAAGCCUGAUGCAGCCAUGCCGCGUGUAUGAAGAAGGCCUUCGGGUUGUAAAGUACUUUAAGCUGGGAGGCGUUACCCGCAGAAGAAGCACCGGCUAACUCCGUGCCAGCAGCCGCGGUAAUAC
rnacentral:rRNA from 1 species